rnacentral:lncRNA from 1 species
AUAAUUGAAGAGUUAGAUUCUUUCUUUUCUUUUUUUUUGAGAAAAGGUAGCACACUACCUGCUUCAUUCAUUAAAAAAGUUGAAUUAAGCAUACAAGGUGGAAGCAGCCGAGGCCUCCAGAAAAAGCGAGAUAAAACAGAGCAGUAGGGGAAAAGAGAGAAAAGGAAAGAAAAGAAGAAGUCACACCGCCGAAAGUCCAGUG